rnacentral:rRNA from 1 species
UAGUCUGGGAUACCACUUGGAAACAGGUGCUAAUACCGGAUAAGAAAGCGGAUCGCAUGAUCAGCUUUUAAAAGGCGGCGUAAGCUGUCGCUAUGGGAUGGCCCCGCGGUGCAUUAGCUAGUUGGUAAGGUAAAGGCUUACCAAGGCGAUGAUGCAUAGCCGAGUUGAGAGACUGAUCGGCCACAUUGGGACUGAGACACGGCCCAAACUCCUACGGGAGGCAGCAGGUC